rnacentral:rRNA from 1 species
GGAAAGGCGCGCGAUACAGGGUGACAGCCCCGUACACAAAAAUGCACAUGCUGUGAGCUCGAUGAGUAGGGCGGGACACGUGGUAUCCUGUCUGAAUAUGGGGGGACCAUCCUCCAAGGCUAAAUACUCCUGACUGACCGAUAGUGAACCAGUACCGUGAGGGAAAGGCGAAAAGAACCCCGGCGAGGGGAGUGAAAAAGAACCUGAAACCGUGUACGUACAAGCAGUGGGAGCACGCUUAGGCGUGUGACUGCGUACCUUUUGUAUAAUGGGUCAGCGACUUAUAUUCUGUAGCAAGGUUAACCGAAUAGGGGAGCCGAAGGGAAACCGAGUCUUAACUGGGCGUUAAGUUGCAGGGUAUAGACCCGAAACCCGGUGAUCUAGCCAUGGGCAGGUUGAAGGUUGGGUAACACUAACUGGAGGACCGAACCGACUAAUGUUGAAAAAUUAGCGGAUGACUUGUGGCUGGGGGUGAAAGGCCAAUCAAACCGGGAGAUAGCUGGUUCUCCCCGAAAGCUAUUUAGGUAGCGCCUCGUGAAUUCAUCUCCGGGGGUAGAGCACUGUUUCGGCAAGGGGGUCAUCCCGACUUACCAACCCGAUGCAAACUGCGAAUACCGGAGAAUGUUAUCACGGGAGACACACGGCGGGUGCUAACGUCCGUCGUGAAGAGGGAAACAACCCAGACCGCCAGCUAAGGUCCCAAAGUCAUGGUUAAGUGGGAAACGAUGUGGGAAGGCCCAGACAGCCAGGAUGUUGGCUUAGAAGCAGCCAUCAUUUAAAGAAAGCGUAAUAGCUCACUGGUCGAGUCGGCCUGCGCGGAAGAUGUAACGGGGCUAAACCAUGCACCGAAGCUGCGGCAGCGACGCUGAUGCGUUGUUGGGUAGGGGAGCGUUCUGUAAGCCUGCGAAGGUGUGCUGUGAGGCAUGCUGGAGGUAUCAGAAGUGCGAAUGCUGACAUAAGUAACGAUAAAGCGGGUGAAAAGCCCGCUCGCCGGAAGACCAAGGGUUCCUGUCCAACGUUAAUCGGGGCAGGGUGAGUCGACCCCUAAGGCGAGGCCGAAAGGCGUAGUCGAUGGGAAACAGGUUAAUAUUCCUGUACUUGGUGUUACUGCGAAGGGGGGACGGAGAAGGCUAUGUUGGCCGGGCGACGGUUGUCCCGGUUUAAGCGUGUAGGCUGGUUUUCCAGGCAAAUCCGGAAAAUCAAGGCU